AACGAGGCCGACCUGCGGCUGAGUUACCUGCGGAGGGAUCAUUACAGAGAUUGAUGCACCAAGUGCAUCACCUCCAACCCCUUGCGAAAACAACUAUCAUGUGUUGCUUUGGCAGUGUUUCCACUGCCAGAGGUUUACAUAAAAUCAGCUGUUGGAUGUUGUCUGAGUAAACUAUAUGAAUUAUUUAAAACUUUCAACAAUGGAUCU
rnacentral:misc_RNA from 1 species